rnacentral:rRNA from 1 species
AUGCUUCGGGUGUUGUCUUCCUCAAUGAGAAAUCGUUCCAUGCACCCGGCAACAGUGAGAACAGACUUCAGAACUUAUGUUAGAACAGUCUUAACUGGAACAAAAUUAACUAAACUCUUGGUCCGAUAUGUAAUUUGUGAUAAAAUCUUACCUUCUUUUGGUUUUCUAACAAAUGUCUUGGCUCUGUUUUGUUUGGAGCCACCCGGUAGUUCUAUGCUGCUACACAAAUACAUUGUGCUUUUUAGGACUGAAUUUUUUUCAUCGUUCAAUUCUUCUGGAUGA